GACGAACGCUGGCGGCGUGCUUAACACAUGCAAGUCAUGGGGGCCCGCAAGGGCAACCGGCGAACGGGUGCGUAACACGUGAGCAAUCUGCCUAAGAUGUGGGGGAUAGCCGGCCCAACGGCCGGGUAAUACCGUAUACGCUCUCCGGGUGGCAUCACCUGGUGAGGAAACCUUCGGGGCAUCUAGAGGAGCUCGCGGCCUAUCAGCUAGUUGGUGGGGUAAUGGCCUACCAAGGCUUUGACGGGUAGCUGGUCUGAGAGGAUGGCCAGCCACAUUGGGACUGAGAUACGGCCCAGACUCCUACGGGAGGCAGCAGUGGGGAAUAUUGCGCAAUGGCCGAAAGGCUGACGCAGCGACGCCGCGUGGGGAUGAAGCAUUUCGGUGUGUAAACCCUGUUGCUCGGGACGAACAACCUUUUUCGAGAGGUCUGACGGUACCGGGUGAGGAAGCACCGGCUAACUCCGUGCCAGCCGCCGCGGUAAC
rnacentral:rRNA from 1 species